CCCUUAGAUGUUCUGGGCCGCACGCGCGCUACACUGAUGAAUUCAACGAGCACUAACCUGUGCCGAAAGGUUCGGGUAAUCUUGUGAAAUUUCAUCGUGAUGGGGAUUGAUUAUUGCAAUUUUUAAUCAUAAACGAGGAAUGCCUAGUAAGCGUGAGUCAUCAGCUCACGUUGAUUACGUCCCUGCCCUUUGUACACACCGCCCGUCGCUCCUACCGAUUGAAUGGUCCGGUGAAGCCUCCGGAUUGGCGCGCACCUCGGUGCCGCCGAGAAGUUGGCUAAACCUUACCAUUUAGAGGAAGGUGAAGUCGUAACA
rnacentral:rRNA from 1 species